rnacentral:rRNA from 1 species
GACGAACGCUGGCGGCGUGCUUAACACAUGCAAGUCGAACGGAAAGGCCCCUUUGGGGGUACUCGAGUGGCGAACGGGUGAGUAACACGUGAGUAACCUGCCCUUGACUUCGGGAUAACUUCAGGAAACUGGGGCUAAUACCGGAUAGGAAUCCUUGCUGCAUGGUGGGGGUUGGAAAGCUUCGGCGGUUUUGGAUGGACUCUCGGCUUAUCAGCUUGUUGGUGGGGUAGUGGCUUACCAAGGCUUUGACGGGUAGCCGGCCUGAGAGGGCGACCGGCCACAUUGGGACUGAGAUACGGACCAGACUCCUACGGGAGGCAGCAGUGGGGAAUAUUGCACAAUGGGCGGAAGCCUGAUGCAGCAACGUCGCGUGCGGGAUGACGGCCUUCGGGUUGUAAACCGCUUUCAGCAGGGGCGAAGCUUUUGUGACGGUACCUGCAGAAGAAGCACCGGCUAACUACGUG